rnacentral:lncRNA from 1 species
UUGCCUGCAUUGUAAUUGAAUAAAGUGAUUUUAUGGUUUGGCAUUCUAAUAGAAUAAAGUAGGGCAAACAUGAUCAUUCUGGUUCGAUGCUUCACUUGCGGCAAGGUUACUGGAAACAAAUGGGACACAUAUCUUGAUCUUCUCCAGUCUGACACCGAAAGCUUUCAUGUUGCAAGCUUUCAUGGCCUUUGGGAUCACAUCUGUGGUAGAUAUUGCAAUCUCAUUCUAGCGCAGUUUGAUCCGUAUGAAACAAACAAUGCUCAUGAAUCAGAAGUUGUUUAUCCACGUUAACUGGGGUAUAAGGUUAGCAAUUACAGUGCAAGGAGCUUCUACAAGGGUUGCAUUUGUUUAGGGGUAUAAGGUUACCAAUUACAGUGCAAGGAGCUUCUACAAAGUCAACAGGAAAAUGACGGCACAUCCCAGUCUAAAAGUUGGAAGAUUUGGAGAGUAAUACAUGGCCCCUGUUACACAUCCUGACCUUGCAGCAAUGUUAUUACAACAACCUGUUACAAGUGGAGAUGAUUCCUGGUUUUGGAGGAACGAGUUCGCGAAUUUGUUCUCGGGGUAUAUCAUUGCACGAGACACUAAUGAUGGAUUUUGAAAGCUGCAUUAUGGGUUUAGUUCAAAAGAGGUUUUGCCUGGUGUCAACCAGAGAUGGCAUUUUAAGAGGAACAAGUCAACGAUAAAGCUGGUGAUUAAAGAACUUGAUGGAUAGAAAAAGGAGGCACUGAAUGUCAUAUGGGUGAAAAGUAAAUAGUUGUUCUUGCUACUGUCGAUAUACUCCAGAUCACUCUCAUAGCUGUAGCUUCGGUUGGAAGUACCGGAGGAAUUCAUAAUGAUGUUGCCACUUCAAUGAUGCAAAUGUUUUGGGAUUUUGCGAUAGUAGCACCACCUGCAGAUGAUGAUAGUGAAGCCCGAUGAUAAUUAGUUAUAGGCCAUGUAGUCAAGAUCUCACGGAAAAAAGGUUGAUUUCAAGACUUUUGAUACUCUCUCAGAUGAUGAAGUAAGGCAAGGCCUAACGAGGAAGGAUUUCCACCCAUCAAAUAUAUAUCGUAUUGCCAGUUGUGUGAUGGAUAACACCGUAAAGAUCUGGUCAAUAACAGGUUAACGAGCUAACGGUUCAAUGUAUCAGCCCAAGUAGUGGAUUUUGUCUGAAGUUUGGUUGCUUCUUUAGGGACUAUAGCAAGAGCGCCAGUUGAAGCAUUGAGGGCAUAGAAACUUGAAGUGAUGGUAACUUGAGCCACUGGUAGAACUGUAGCCGAUGAACCAAACAACUCCAUUUCAAUACCAAGGGCCGCUGUUAUAAAUAGAUUCAGGUUAGUUUUUAUAUACGGGGCCACAUGAAGUUGUUAAGGUUUUCACUGAGAUGCUUAAAGACAACGAGGUCAAGCAAUGGAAGUUUUCGUAUCUUUGAGUUGAGCUCUGCUUGAUGUUCUCAUCAAUACAUGGCUGAUGGUGUGCUUCUGCGUGAAACAUUCAAAGAUGUUGAUCUUAACAAAUAUUUCCCAUGAAAGAUGAUUAAGUACUGAUGUGUUAUUCGGGAUACUUAAAAAAGUGGUUGCAAGACGUCGAGACUUUAUGCUUAUUGUUACUUCUGCCACCCUCAACGGUCAUAAAUUUUCCAACUUCUUUGGGAGGUGAAGGGUCUGAAAAAGGUCCGGAAAAUUAGGUUGCAUCGGUUAAACACUAAAGAUUCGGCUAACCUCGUGUGGGCCAGAUUUUGAUAUUGUAAGGAAAGCAAUACGUUCGGAUCAUUUUCAUAAUGUUGCAAGACUAAAAGGGGUGGGAGAAUAUGUGAAUUGUAGGAAAGGAAUGUCGUGCCAUAUGCACCCGAGCUCGGCUCUUUAUGGGUUGAGGGACAUGUCGGCUUAUGUGGUGAACCAUGAGCUUAUACCAACGACAAAAGAAUACCUGCAAUGUGUGACUUCUGUUGAGCCAUAGUGGUUAGCUGAACUGGGACAUACCAAUGUAACUGAUCCUAAUGUCUUAAUUUUUAAGAUUAUCCUCCAUGUUUGUGUGGUAUACAUAC